rnacentral:piRNA from 1 species
GUAUCUGACAGAAUUGCGGUAGCUCA